UACGGGAGGCAGCAGUAGGGAAUCUUCCGCAAUGGGCGAAAGCCUGACGGAGCAACGCCGCGUGAGUGAUGAAGGUCUUCGGAUCGUAAAGCUCUGUUAUUAGGGAAGAACAAGUGCGUAAGUAACUGUGCGCACCUUGACGGUACCUAAUCAGAAAGCCACGGCUAACUACGUGCCAGCAGCCGCGGUAAUACGUAGGUGGCAAGCGUUAUCCGGAAUUAUUGGGCGUAAAGCGCGCGUAGGCGGUUUCUUAAGUCUGAUGUGAAAGCCCACGGCUCAACCGUGGAGGGUCAUUGGAAACUGGGGAGACUUGAGUGCAGAAGAGGAAAGUGGAAUUCCAUGU
rnacentral:rRNA from 1 species